rnacentral:lncRNA from 1 species
AAAACUUCAAAAACCCCCCUGUGGUUUCGUAGAUUUUCGUUUUGCUCCCCUGUGGUUUAAAGUGUAUCAAUUUGCCCCCCUGUAGUUUCGUUUUUAUCUUUUCGGUAGCUUUUUCGUUAAUAUUUCGUUAAAUUAUAUACAAAAAACUUCAGAUAUCCAUCUAGAUUUAUCAAAUAUUCACUCUAGUACUCUUUAAUUUUAACUUUAUUACUGAUUUUAAAAAAAAAAUAAUGAAAUUGAUAAGAAAAAGUGAAAAACAAAACCACAUGGGAGCAAAUUGAUA